CUGGGCCAGCUAGGCAUUAUGGGGACUGGGCCAGGUAGGCAUUAUGGGGACUGGGCCAGGUAGGCAUUAUGGAGACUGGGCCAGGUAGGCAUUAUGGGGACUGGGCCAGGUAGGCAUUAUGGGGACUGGGCCAGGUAGGCAUUAUGGGGACUGGGCCAGGUAGGCAUUAUGGGGACUGGGCCAGGUAGGCAUUAUGGGGACUGGGCCAGGUAGGCAUUAUGGGGACUGGGCCAGGUAGGCAUUAUGGGGACUGGGCCAGGUAGGCAUUAUGGGGACUGGGCCAGGUAGGCAUUAUGGGGACUGGGCCAGGUAGGCAUUAUGGGGACUGGGCCAGGUAGGCAUUAUGGGGACUGGGCCAGGUAGGCAUUAUGGGGACUGGGCCAGGUAGGCAUUAUGGGGACCGGGCCAGGUAAGCAUUAUGGGGACCGGGCCAGGUAAGCAUUAUGGGGACCGGGCCAGGUAAGCAUUAUGGGGACCGGGCCAGGUAAGCAUUAUGGGGACCGGGCCAGGUAAGCAUUAUGGGGGGACCGGGCCAGGUAAGCAUUAUGGGGGGACCGGGCCAGGUAAGCA